UACGAAGGGGACUAGCGUUGCUCGGAAUCACUGGGCGUAAAGGGCGCGUAGGCGGAUGAUCAAGUCGGGGGUGAAAUCCCGGGGCUUAACCCCGGAACUGCCUUCGAUACUGGUCGUCUCGAGUUCGAGAGAGGUGAGUGGAACUCCGAGUGUAGAGGUGAAAUUCGUAGAUAUUCGGAAGAACACCAGUGGCGAAGGCGGCUCACUGGCUCGAUACUGACGCUGAGGCGCGAAAGCGUGGGGAGCAAACAGG
rnacentral:rRNA from 1 species